CCCCGGGCGGGUCGGGCGCGUAGGGCGCGCGGGUCCCCUCUUGCGACCCCCGAAUCUAGCGAGUUCGAGGGAGACUGUGCUGGUUGGACGGGCCGCCGCCGCCAACCUUCCUAGGGGCCGAUCGGGGAAGGCGCCCGGCGGCUUCCGGGGAUCCUCCCCGCACCGGCUCUCCCCGACAGCCUCCUGCGUCCUUACUUUCUUUGCCCUGUUCCUUUCCUCACCCCUUCCUGCGGAAAUUAUCAUCUCAGAAAACUUUCUUUCUCCGUUUCCCCUCCCCCCUCCUUUUCUUUCUUUCCCCCUCUGCCCUUUAUCCCGGCGCAGCCUGGCAGAGAAGAGCGAUAGCAGCGGGCUCCGAGGUGCCCGCAGGCUCUCUCCAGUCCCCAUGACUGUCUUCCCCAGCUGUAUUCAGAAGGCCGUGGAUGUCUCCUCAGCAACCCCCCAACCCUGCGUCCUUCUCAUCAGAUGUCCUGUAAUGAAAUUCAUCUAGUUCUCCCAUCUCCAAUGAGG
ensembl:lncRNA